UUUGCAACACAAAGAAACUUAAAGGGAUAGUUCACCGGUGGGAAUAUGAAGGUUUUAUGAAUUAAAUAAUUCAAUGUAUUAUAAAUGUGAAAAAUAAAUUGAAAUUGGUUCAUCCUAGCCUGAAAAAAGGCAGAAAGAGUGUUUUCAUGGUCUCUCUGGCUCAAAGUGAGAAAACCUCCAACUACCACAGUGCAUUGCGCUCGCUGCCCCGCCCACCUGUUUCCGUUUAAAAGGGGGAAGGACCCAUGCGAGCAAACAAACUUUAUUCACAAAGUUAUUCACGAACCGUCGUUGACUAGUUUUGACUCGUUUUUCCAAAAGCAAUCAUGCCCAGUGGUUGUUUGGUACCCGGUUGCACCGAAAAGUCGAGGUUGGGACAGAGUGUAAGUUUUCACGGUUUGCCAGUGAAAGACGCUCAGCGUUGCAAACUAUGGCUGCGGGCGAUAAACAACCCCAGAGUUGGAGAAGACACCGGGAAGGAAAUUAUAAAAGGAAAAACGAUAUGCAGUCUCCAUUUCAAACUGGAGGAUUUUGAUGGAAGACUUUUCGGCAAGAUAAGGUCCGCACUCAAACCAACUGCUGUUCCGUGCGUCUUCGCUGUGGGCCCGUGCCCAGAUGACGAACAGGCCGGGGCUUCUAAUGCACCUCCCGCAGCGAAACGCAGUCGCCUACAGGACAACCACGCUUCAACCAAGUGUUUUGCAGGAGAUCCAAGCAGUGGGUCGUGAAGCAGAUUUUUAUUCCACACACCACCCAGUUCAUUGACACACUUGUCACAAGUGUCAUAACCAGAAGACGAAACCCAACGAUUCUAUAUAAGGUUUCAACAUCCUCACUUGCCCUGCCCCAGCCUGCGCUGCCACCUAACAUUGCACCAGUGCCAAAACCACCAAAGGAGGCGGCAGUGGCUGAAUUAAAAAGGCGCUUCUGAGAGGGACAUCUGACCUAUUUUAUCUAUUUAAACGUAUCUUUUAUAAAACAUUUGUUUUCAAUCUUAUCUUUGUAAAUAUUGUAUCAUUUUCCUUUGUGAAUAAAAUCUUAUUGUUUUUACUACCUUA